CCUACGGGAGGCAGCAGUGAGGAAUAUUGGUCAAUGGGCGGGAGCCUGAACCAGCCAAGUCGCGUGCGGGAAGACGGUCCUACGGAUUGUAAACCUCUUUUGCCGGGGAGCAACGGGGUCCUUGCGAGGGCCCGUUGAGAGUACCCGGAGAAAAAGCAUCGGCUAACUCCGUGCCAGCAGCCGCGGUAAUACGGAGGAUGCGACGGUUAUCCGGUUUUUUUGGGUUUAAAGGGUGCGAAGGUGGCCUGUUUGGUCAGUGGUAAAAGCCCGGGGCAAAACCCCGGCGUGCCGUGGAAACUGGCGGGCUUGAGUUGGAGAGAAGGACGCGGAAUGCGUGGUGUAGCGGUGAAAUGCUUAGAUAUGGCGCAGAACCCCGAUUGCGAAGGCAGCGUACUGGCUCGACACUGACGCUGAGGCACGAAAGCGUGGGUAUCGAACAGGAUUAGAUACCCGUGUAGAC
rnacentral:rRNA from 1 species